rnacentral:misc_RNA from 1 species
AAGUCGUAACAAGGUUUCCGUAGGUGAACCUGCGGAAGGAUCAUUAAUCAGUGGAUCCGGCGGGGACCUCCCCGCCGGGUAGACCUCCACCCGUGCCUAUCUACUCUUGUUGCUUUGGCGGGCCGUGGCCUCCACUACGGGCUCUGCUCGUACGUGCCCGCCAGAGGACCAAACUCUGAAUUUUAGUGAUGUCUGAGUACUAUUUAAUAGUUAAAACUUUCAACAACGGAUCUCUUGGUUCUG